AUGGAAAGAGCUAGUACAAUCACAUAUUUGAAAGGAGAAACAAUAGGUACUGAACCGGAGGGAAAGGGCGAGGGUUUGAGUGUGCCAGCACCGGCCUGGUGAAUCCACGAUUCCAUUUCCCAUCCAAGGUAAGUUUCCCGAAAUAACGUCUAAACAAGCUGCACUUACACCUCUAGCCAUCGUCUGCCCUUUCAAAUAUCUGGUCUACAUGGAAAGACAAAGAGGAAAGGCCGAAACAUAAACAAAAGGAAACAAAACAAAACACAACCCUCUCAGGAACCCAACGAAAACCCCCAAAUCCUUUUUUACUACACAAGGCAUGAGGUCAAAAGCUUAAGAGUACAGUGUCCCCUUUAGAUCAUGGGAGAAAGGCGUCCACACAGAGCCUUAGCAGGGAUUUCCACUCCGAGGCUCCAGAACAUGCUGAAGAUGGGGCUCUGGGGGUGCCACUACCAUCCUGGAGGUCACCAACUGGGGUGGAGACAGUGAAGAAGGUCUCACGUGCCCGAAGACCACCAGCCAGAUAUACACUGGUGGCCCUGGUGGAGCAUGGCCGGGCAACAGCGUCCAUCUCCAACACCGAGCCACUCCUGUCCUGGAUGACUUCCUGCUUAGGUCCGUCACAUUUCAGAAGAGAGCUGACUUUCUGGAAGCCUAUGUUUCCCAUUCAUCGCAGAAUAUGACAGAGCACACACACUCUGGUAUCCUUGGUCUUCAAAGGCCAUUUCCAGCAGACCCUCUAACCUAGGCUUGCUCUGCAGGAAGUGAAAAGGGACAAAUGAAGAUUUGAGGGGCAGCCUGCAGCUACUUGGCAGAGAGGAACCAAAUGGCAAGGGAGAAGGCUCCACCAGAGCUGCCACGCUGCCGCAGCAGGCCAAGCCACAGCAUGGCCGUGCACCUGUGUACGCUCAGCUUCCAGAAGGCGUCACUGACCAUCCGGAAGGCAGAUCCAGAAGACAGGAGGGUGACAGCUCAGCUGGAGAGCACUGAUGUCAAUGUUUAACAAUGUACCCCAGUGUCCCUAGAAGUGGCUGGAAGGACCACAGCUUUGGAACUGAACUGAUUUUCUCGAAUGUGAAAUAAAGUCAUCCUUUGUUUUCUCCCUUAAGGAACCUAGAGCCAGACUGUCAAUGAAUUCCAAGUUUGAAAACAAUACUAAUGUUUAAAAAAAAAAAAAAAAAAAAAACGGGGGGGAGAAGCCAACAGUUAAGAAAAUCAAACCGAAUGCAGCUGGCAUUGAAGUUCCCAGUGGGUGGAUGAGCAUUUCAGAUGCACACCCACACUCUGGACUUCAUCCCACUCUAGCGGACAGUGGACAAAUACCACCGCAAGGCCACUGGUUGCUGAGCAAUGCGCCGCAGCCCUGAUGGCAAAGGCAGAGCUGCCAGCAUCGGGAGGAGGGCAACUUUAGCAGGCAAAAGUGCGUGGGUUCUGACCCCCCACUCAGCAGCAGAAAAGGCAAGUGCUGGUCUCCACCUGUUCCCACCAAGGCCCCGUUGUAUCCUGGCAGAAGCCUCUGCAUGUAUCUGCGCUCUGAAGAUGGGGGUUUGAAAACAAAAUAAGACCCUACAUCCUACUACCUUGAGCUUGGCUCUAAAACCACGUGAAAGGAAGAGAUAUAUUGCACCUUAAAAAGUCUCUGCACUAAGAACUGCAUUUAAUCAGACCAAGGAGGGGUUGGGGCGCUGGGAGGCCUGAGGCCUGCCCUCAGCCCCUAGUCUCAUUUAAAAUCUGCAUCUCAGCGAAGAGACUGCAGCUCAGGUCACACAGAGGUGGUGACUGCACCGAACUUCACAUGCAAUUUCCUGGCCUUUCCUGCACAGAAUUAAUUCAGACAUUAUAUAUAAAUAGAGCAGUGAAACAUUUACUUCUUUUUUUUCAUCUAGACCUACAACAUCAAUACAUAUAAAUAAAUUCUAGUGUUUUUUGUUUUUUUAUUUGGGGUCAGGGAGAAGGAAGGAAGGAAAUACCGGGUAAGAGAAAAGGGCUAGAGAACAGGUGACCUUUAUGUUUUUAUUUUUUCUCAAACAGCAAGUACUGUGGGUCUGAUGUCAGGUUCACCUGAAGGGUCUAUCUUUUUAACAGCAUCCGGGAGGCUUUUUCUUUCGACAGAUCACACGCACCACCGCGUCAGGUGGGAGGGGUCUCGCCAUGUGGCUCAAAUGUCCAGGUGGAGAUGAAUGUGUGGCUCCCGCAGGCCUGGACUCACCCAGGAAUGGCUUGGCAAGGGGGGCGGAUAGGGACAAAGAGGGCUCAUCCCAGGCCCCACAAGCAGCCACUUGCAGUGGGAGAAGGAAAAGCAGACACGCAGCUCAGGUAGGGAAUGCCCGGAACUGUCAGGUGGACAGCCCCUGGGGAAAGGACUCAAGCGUAAAGACUGGGGACGAAGAGGGAAAAGACCAGGGGAGGGCAGGAGGGGAGCUGCUGAAAGAUGCAGGUGAACAGUAAAGCAGCUUUCAGUAAAACUGCACCUUCCCAGGCAGCUCUGGGGUGGGCGCUGUUUGUAGGAGGCCGUUCUCCCACUUCCUUAGAAUUGUGAGAGCAGUAAGAAGUUACUUUAGCAGUUCCUAAGAUGCUCCUUCCCCAUGUUCUACACUAGACACAGAGCUUAGAGCCCAAGCCCGAGUGCUGUCCUGCACCCAUGAGACGCCGAGGGCAGCCUCUGGGGGGGUGCAUCCCCGGCCCUCUCCUCACGGUGUUCUGAGCUGGCCUCCUCUGGAAGAGCAGGUAGACGCUCAAUGACCCUUAAGAACAGCUAAGAAACUUGAACUGUCCGCUUCCCUUUCCUCGGAAUGACAGAAUCUUGUUUCUUAUUUAAAAACGACAAGCCCAGCACACGAUGGCUCACACAAGCCUCUGGCUGGAGAAGCUGCCCCUGCAGACUGCGCAGGCCCUCUGGACCUUGGUCAGCCCUCCACCCAGCCUCACCCUGCCCCCCCUGCCCCGGUCAUCUGAAGACAAAUGAGACAGAUGCCUGCUGCUUAGGUCAGGCCCUCCUGUCCUGACAACCUGGGUCUGCUGCUGGGAGUGAAGCAAAGGAGGAAAAGGACAAACUCCCAGCAGCCUCAC